rnacentral:rRNA from 1 species
ACCUACGGGAGGCAGCAGUGGGGAAUAUUGCGCAAUGGGCGAAAGCCUGACGCAGCGACGCCGCGUGAGGGAUGAAGGUCUUCGGAUCGUAAACCUCUGUCAGCAGGGAAGAACGGUCACUGUGCUAAUCAGCAGUGAAUUGACGGUACCUGGGGAGGAAGCUCCGGCUAACUACGUGCCAGCAGCCGCGGUAAUACGUAGGGAGCGAGCGUUGUCCGGAAUUACUGGGUGUAAAGGGAGCGUAGGCGGGGAUGCAAGUUGGGUGUCAAAACUACCGGCUCAACUGGUAGUCGCACUCAAAACUG